GAUCCUGGAAAUGUACAGAGGAGUAUGCCCCGAGCCCUAGGAAAUGGGAAAACCUGCUGGAACUGCCAGCUGGAGAGUAGCAAGUGUGAACCUUCUGUGCAAAGGCUGUACAGCUAGUCAUGUCUGAUUCAUCACAAACUGCGUGAGCUCUCAUGGAACCUCCCUGAAAAACUGCCCUGAAGCCAGUUUACUCAGCUGCGUGGGAAUUCUCCUUGGCUGGUUGAGGAUUCCCUGUGCAGAGAGGAAUCCUGCUGGUGGUGUGAGCUGUGGCUGCCAGACUAGGCCCUGGAGGUUGCUGACUGUUGGUGCAGGUUAAAGU